GACGAACGCUGGCGGCGUGCUUAACACAUGCAAGUCGAACGGAAAGGCCCUGCUUUUGUGGGGUGCUCGAGUGGCGAACGGGUGAGUAACACGUGAGUAACCUGCCCUUGACUUUGGGAUAACUUCAGGAAACUGGGGCUAAUACCGGAUAGGAGCUCCUGCUGCAUGGUGGGGGUUGGAAAGUUUCGGCGGUUGGGGAUGGACUCGCGGCUUAUCAGCUUGUUGGUGGGGUAGUGGCUUACCAAGGCUUUGACGGGUAGCCGGCCUGAGAGGGUGAACAGCCACAUUGGGACUGAGAGACGGCCCAGACGCCUACGAGAGGCAGCAGUGGGGAGUAUUGCACAAUGGGCGGAAGCCUGAUGCAGCAACGCCGCGUGCGGGAUGACGGCCUUCGGGUUGUAAACCGCUUUCGCCUGUGACGAAGCGUGAGUGACGGUAAUGGGUAAAGAAGCACCGGCUAACUACGUG
rnacentral:rRNA from 1 species